UACGUAGGGCGCAAGCGUUAUCCGGAUUUAUUGGGCGUAAAGAGCUCGUAGGCGGUUUGUCGCGUCUGCCGUGAAAGUCCGAGGCUCAACCUCGGAUCUGCGGUGGGUACGGGCAGACUAGAGUGAUGUAGGGGAGACUGGAAUUCCUGGUGUAGCGGUGAAAUGCGCAGAUAUCAGGAGGAACACCGAUGGCGAAGGCAGGUCUCUGGGCAUUUACUGACGCUGAGGAGCGAAAGCAUGGGGAGCGAAC
rnacentral:rRNA from 2 species